rnacentral:misc_RNA from 1 species
AAGUCGUAACAAGGUAACCGUAGGUGAACCUGCGGUUGGAUCAUUAUAAAACUUUGGAUUCGUUUGGAAAGAACACUCGGAUCUCUGUGACCAGUUUUCAAGUACGAAUGAAACUCCCUUUCGAAAAGGGGGUACCCACAUUGUGUGAACCUGUACAUUUCCCUCUCCGGGGAUGUCUUGUGCUCAACUUUUGUGUUUUGGGGAAUGCUUCUGAGAGUUCGACUGGGGCAGAUGUUCCGGUCUUUUUUGAACACAAUCAUUCAAAAACAACUUUUGGCAACGGAUCUCUUGGCUCUC